GAGAGGGAGACAUAGAAUCCGAAGCAGGCUCCAGGCACUGAGCUGUCAGCACAGAGUUCAAUGCAGAGCUCAAACCUGCAGACCGCAGGAUCGUGACUUGAGCCGAAGUUGGACACUUAACUGACUGAGCCACCCAGGUGCCCCUGUACAGAAAAGAUUUAAUGAAAUGAUUCCUGAUGAGAUUGUGUUGCUUCUCCCCAGGGUGUCUGCAUUUGUAAAAGAACCAAACAUGAGAUCAGAGAGCAAAACUACUGUAUACGAGGAAUUGCAAGGCUGGUGGAAGAGGCAUUUUAGCCAUACUACACCCCUCCCCGAGACCUAGAUUAUCCCAGAAGUGUGGCUGAUGCCUGUUCUACCUUCUCAGAAACGUGGGACAUGGAAAAGAGCAGAGACUAGUGUGGAGGUUUAUCACGGGUUUAGCAUCCGAGUGACUUGGGCGGGUGUUCACCUUUCUAGGUGUCAGUUUGAGUCUCUGCAGAAUGAAGGCUAGGAGGAGGCCCCAGUCCACACCAUUUCUUCCACCGUCUCCUCUCUUCCUCCUCCUCCUCCACCCUCCUCUCCCUCCUCCCUCACUGUUGGGGCCACUGUAUAGAUAAGAGUUUCCUCCUGGCCAGCUGUGUAAGCCAGAGUGGAAAAUUGUGGCCUACUCCCAAGUCACCCCAGAAUUUCUAUGCAGGUUGAAUUAGGAAGCAACAGUCUGGUGGAAGGGGUGGAGUUGGAAUGCGUUGUGCUUUACGUAGGACGGUGUCCUCCCUGCCUGUACCCAAGCUGUGCGUUGGCUCCAAUACUUACCAGCUGAUCCCCAGGAUACCUUAUAGUCUGGAGUUUCAGGAUUCAAAAUGUCAGCCUCAACCCUGGGGUCUUCAGCCUCAACAGCUGCUUCAGGUUGCCUUCUCUCUCCAGCCCUUCUGUGCUCUCUGCCUUCCCUCCUCUCCUGCUCUGCUUUCCCAGGUCAAGCAGGCUACAGAAAUGCAGUCCCCUUCGGGCCCCGGCUGUUUGCCUGCCGGCCGUCUCUGUGUCACAGAGUUGGGAGCGGGAAGCCCUUCACAUCCCAGCAGCCCUGACAGAGGCGUGAGGAUGGGCAGGGCUGCUGCUGGGAAGGGAAUAACUGAACCGGUUGUGGGGGAGCAACGUGCCUGAGAGAUAGCAGGCAGGGCAUGGGUGAAAAUGCUAAUAAAAAUUUAAAAUAGAACCUGCAGAACAGGUACUGCUCUUCUUGAGUCUGUUGGAGCCUACUGUCAAGAUCAGAAUGAUCCCCAUGGAUGUCAUGAGAGUGAGGAAGGCCACAGAGGGGACUGACCGAUGCUGGCAACCGUGUGUGUUAUUAUAACCUUUUUGCAAUGUUAUUCUUCAUCUGGACACCUGGUUCCAUCUCAGAUGCUAUCCAGAUGAUUCAUAAUCUAAUGUCGGCUUCAACGCACAUUUAAAGUGGGAGAAAAAGCAACUGAAUCAAAAGCCCAAGGUCUUCCAAGAAGUCCCAGAAAGUGGUCUUUACUCCUUCCCAUCACUCCCCAACAUGACCUAAAUCCAGGAGAAACUGAGAUGCCCCAGAAGCUCACCUCUGCAAGUGCCAUCAUGAAUAAUGCCAACACCAAGAAUCUGAGCAAGCAGUGUCCUAGGAGUACUGGACUUGUUUGCAAGCAUCCUUAUUGCUGAAGGGAGAGGGUUUAUUUGAUUUACUCUCAGGAGUUAUUUUCCUAGUAUUAAGUCACUCUAGGGAGACUUUUUGUGAUUACCUAUGAGUAAAUAAAAAAGUGAAAUUGCAAUGAAAAUAAAUCAUUAGUCAACUUUAA